rnacentral:rRNA from 1 species
GACGAACGCUGGCGGCGUGCUUAACACAUGCAAGUCGAACGGAAAGGCCCUGCUUUUGUGGGGUGCUCGAGUGGCGAACGGGUGAGUAACACGUGAGUAACCUGCCCUUGACUUUGGGAUAACUUCAGGAAACUGGGGCUAAUACCGGAUAGGAGCUCCUGCUGCAUGGUGGGGGUUGGAAAGUUUCGGCGGUUGGGGAUGGACUCGCGGCUUAUCAGCUUGUUGGUGGGGUAGUGGCUUACCAAGGCUUUGACGGGUAGCCGGCCUGAGAGGGUGACCGGACACAUUAGGACUGGGAUACGGCCCAGACUCCUACGGGAGGCAGCAGUGGGGAAUAUUGCACAAUGGGCGGAAGCCUGAUGCAGCAACGCCGCGUGCGGGAUGACGGCCUUCGGGUUGUAAACCGCUUUCGCCUGUGACGAAGCGUGAGUGACGGUAAUGGGUAAAGAAGCACCGGCUAACUACGUG